rnacentral:rRNA from 1 species
UACAGAGGUCCCAAGCGUUGUUCGGAUUCAUUGGGCGUAAAGGGUGCGUAGGCGGCGCGGUAAGUCGGGUGUGAAAUCUUGGAGCUUAACUCCGAAACUGCAUUCGAUACUGCCGUGCUUGAGGACUGGAGAGGAGACUGGAAUUUACGGUGUAGCGGUGAAAUGCGUAGAGAUCAUGAGGAAGACCAGUGGCGAAGGCGGGUCUCUGGACAGUUCCUGACACUGAGGCACGAAGGCCAGGGGAGCAAACGGG